AUACUUACCUGGCAGGGGAGAUACCAUAAUCACGAAGGUGGUUUUCCCAGGAGGAGGCUUAUCCAUUGCACUCCAGAUGUGCUGACCCCUGUGAUUUCCCCAAAUGUGGGAAACGCAACUGCAUAAUUUGUGGUAGUGGGGGGGGGGGGGGAAAAUUAAGCAAUUCCUAU